GAUGAAGAACGUAGUGAAACGCGAUAUGUAAUGUGAAUUGCAGAAUUCAGUGAAUCAUCGAAUCUUUGAACGCACAUGGCGCCUUCCAGUAUCCUGGGAGGCAUGCCUGUCCGAGCGUCGUUUCAACCCUCGAGCCCCCGUGGCCCGGCGUUGGGGAUCUGCCACGGCAGGCCCCUAAAACCAGUGGCGGACCCGAAGGCUCUCUCCUUUGCGCAGUAGCAUCAGCCUCGCAUUGGGAUCCCUCGGCGUCCUGCCUCUAAACCCCCCACAAGUCCGCUCCGGCGGCACCAAGGUUGACCUCGGAUCAGGUAGGAAUACCCGCUGAACUUAAGCAUAUCAAUAAGCGGAGGA
rnacentral:misc_RNA from 1 species